AAGCAACACGCACGCACACAAAUCUAAUGUAUUGCCAAAGGCUCGUCUCGAGCCUUGUCUUCGCUUUAUUGCUUUCAACUUACGAUUUACAAGCCAGGUUACACGCAUAUAAAUAUGGUCACGAUAGACUACAAGCUAACCUACUCGGACACCAACUCUAGUCCAACUCGGCCACCUAUACAUGCAUUAACCGGACACACUCGUACAUGGAUUCUACUCCUACUUGGCCACGUGCAGCGUUCCGUGCACAAUUCGUGUUUAACUCUAACAAUCACCCCCUAAACACGACGUGGCCGCGUCACAGCUCGGACGCCGAUCCUUCUUCUCAUCUCCAAAAGCUUCUGUCGAUCCAAAGCCUUGGUUCGGAUGUCCGCCAGCUGAUCAUCGGUGCGAAUGUAGUUGACCUCUGUCUUACCUUCUUCCACGCAGUCCUUUGUAUAGUGAUACACCGUGUCAAUGUGCUUGCUCCUAUCAUGCCGCACUGGAUCCUCACGUAGAAAAGGCGUAGACUCGCUGUCAACGUUGAGCACCACCGGUUCCGGAUCUCGAUCCAUGAGAUCACUGUAUAGCCUCCCUAGCCACACACCUUGACACUCUACUUCACUUGAAGUCGAUGUCACCACUUUAUGCUUUCGUGAUAGCCAGCUUGCUAUGCUUCUUCCAAGAAAAUAUGUCACGUCCGAGGUACUCUUACGGUCGUCAACAAUCAUUUCCUUGUCACUACCACUAUAGCCGAGUAGAUUCACCAUCUCCUUCCUGCUCAGUUCAAGACGAGGUUCCAUUGAAGUGACAAUGCGAUUGCAAUCUUUCAUGCCACGGCUUUCAAGUACCUUCCUUGCAUAUGCCUCCUGGCAUAAUGUGAUCCCCUCCAGCUUUUGAUGUACCUCUGUCCCGAGGUUGCAACUCAAAAGGCCUAGAUCAUCCAUCUUGAAAAGCUCCUUCAUCUGUAGCUUGAACUUUGCAAUCGCCUCUUCAUCUGCUCCAGUUAUCAACAGAUCGUCGACGUAGAUGCCAACUAGUAGACGAUCCCUGACUUCACCUCUCUUGUACAUUGGAUGCUCUAGUGGGGCUUUCUCAAAUCCAAGAGAAAUCAAAGUUUGAUCAAGUUUGAUGCUCCAUGCCCGAGAGCCUUGCCGUAGCCCGUACAAUACUUUGUGUAGUUUCAGUACCUUGUGUUCCUCUCCCUCUUUGAUGAAUCCCGGUGGCUGAUUCACAUACACAUCUCCUUCUAACUCGCCAUUCAAAAACACAGGUUUUACAUCCAUGCGAUGUAUCUUCCAUGAUUCCUGAACCGCGAGAGCGACGAGUAAUUCCACCGAUUUCAUCUUUGCAACGGGAACGAACACUUCUUCGAAGUCCGCACCUUCCUCUUGCAUGUACUCUUUGUCUACUAGCCUUGCUUUGUGGUUCACAGCCCCAUCGGCAUCUUUCUUGAUCAUAAAUUCCCACUUGAGAUCCAUGACUUUUUCAUUGUUGGGAAGAUCCACAAGCACCCAUGCAUUAUUGUCGUGGAUCGACCUCAACUCUUCUUCCAUAGCGUGACGCAAACACUUCUUCGUGUUCGCAUCCUCAAAAUCCGCCAGUUCCUUGGCACUUAGACACCGUCGCCCACUCCUUUUCACCUUUUCCGGGUCAAUCAUCCGAAGAAUUUUCUCCGGAUACGGGUGCAACUCUGGUUGAAGCAAUACAGGUGUAGGUGAUGAUGCCCUUCCCUCCUUCAUGGACACCAGUGUUACCUUGUCGUUCCUGCCUCCCAGCGUUGCAGUGGCCAAGUUUUGCAAAACUGCACUUGAUAAGACCUCUGGUCUCCCUGGUAAAUCAGCAGCCUGACCUGGGCCACCAAAGCCGUCCUCAACUGCGCAUGGACUUUCAGGUAGAAUUGUUGGGUUGCCCCUCACUUUUAGCAUGCUGGAUAUCACGAAAGCAUAAAGUGGUGACAUCGACUUCAAGUGAAGUAGAGUGUCAAGGUGUGUGGCUAGGGAGGCUAUACAGUGAUCUCAUGGAUCGAGAUCCGGAACCGGUGGUGCUCAACGUUGACAGCGAGUCUACGCCUUUUUCCCCUUCUUCUUGCUACUGCUUAUGGAUCCGCCUCGCUUUUCCAGGGCGAUCCACUGCGCCUUUGUGAGCAUCACAAGCGCAUCGUUCUUCCCGUCCCCAAGACUGUACCGCAUACGCUCAUCGUGAGCCUUGUACCGUUCGACAAGAUCGUCGAUGGAGAGAGUCGCGAGAUCGACGCACUGCUCGAUCGCCGUGACAAUUUGCAGGUACCGGGGAGGGGCCGCGCGCAAAAACCGCCGGACAACCGAGGCCUCCGUGAGGUUCUCUCCAAGCGCGUGAAUCCGAUUGACGAGAGUAGCCACCCGUGAAGCGAACGCAUCCACGGACUCAUCAUCGCCCAUGACCAAAGUCUCGUAGUUUCUUAGGAGAGUUUGGAGAUUGGCUUGCUUGACACGGGUGUGUCCCUCGAACAUGAGUUUCAACGUAUCCCACACCUCCUUCGCCGUUUCUUUGGCGAUUAGGUGUUGGAGGACAUCCAUCGGCAUCACCGAGUAAAUCGCUGACGCCGCCUGCCGAUCCUUCCGGUGCUCGGCUCCCUCCUUCUUGAACGCGUCGCCUCCGGGAUCCACCGCAUCCCAUAGCUCGUUGGCGCGGAGACCACACUCCAUGAGGGCCUUCCAGACCCCGAAGUUCUCGCGAUCAAACCGUGGAUACGACGAACUCGCCGGAGCAGCAAUUACUUUAGCUGCACCGGAGUACUCCACCAGCUGCUUGGUCUUGUCCUUCUCGUCGUCCGACAUGAUCUUCCGUUACUAGAAGAUCAACCUUGCUCUGAUACCAAUUGUUGGCUCUGUCCCGAUGCCGAGUACUUCCGGCAACGGCGAUACGACCGACAACGAACGACGAUGACAAACGAAGCUCGCUGACGAAUUCGACGAAGUUACUUUACGCCGAGAUGCACCGCAGUGCAAAAGCUAGCCUCCUGCUAGCGGCUCCUGAUCGAUCCACCAACACAGUGCAAAGCUGGCCCAAGCUAGCCGUCCUGCUACUGAUCGAUUCUACGUGAAGUUGCAGCAAACAAUACCACAGUAUAUGUACGUACACAACGGCCAGCCGGCCGGAAGCAACACGCACGCACACAAAUCUAAUGUAUUGCCAAAGGCUCGUCUCGAGCCUUGUCUUCGCUUUAUUGCUUUCAACUUACGAUUUACAAGCCAGGUUACACGCAUAUAAAUAUGGUCACGAUAGACUACAAGCUAACCUACUCGGACACCAACUCUAAUCCAACUCGGCCACCUAUACAUGCAUUAACCGGACACACUCGUACAUGGAUUCUACUCCUACUUGGCCACGUGCAGCGUUCCGUGCACAAUUCGUGUUUAACUCUAACAGCCA
rnacentral:lncRNA from 1 species